AGCUCCAAUAGCGUAUAUUAAAGUUGUUGCAGUUAAAAAGCUCGUAGUUGGAUUUCUGGACGGAGCAGCCGGUCCGCCGCUGUGCGGUGUGUACUCGUGCUUGACUCGGUUCAUCCUUGUGGGGAAGCGCAUUUCGGCAUUCAGUUGUCGAGGCGGGGAACCACAUCAUUUACUGUGAAAAAAUUAGAGUGUUUAAAGCAGGCAUUUUGCUGUGAAUACAUUAGCAUGGAAUAAUAACAUAGGACUUUGAUUCUAUUUUGUUGGUUGGAGAUCAAGGUAAUGAUUAAUAGGGAUAGUUGGGGGUAUUCAUAUUUAAUUGUCAGAGGUGAAAUUCUUGGAUUUAUGAAAGAUGAACUCAUGCGAAAGCAUUUACCAAGGAUGUUUUCAUUA
rnacentral:rRNA from 1 species